CAGCCUCUGUGUGCAGCCUGGAAAUUCCAUCCAGGCAGUAAGGUGGAGUGCUCUUAGGGCCCAUCUCAUUUGUUUCCUUUCUUUCAGGGAUCAUUAUCAGCAAGGCUUGCUGUCCAACGUCUGAAAACCACUGUUUUAUAUAUUUUGUCUGCUUUUUUUGACAGGAGGGUAAAUCUAGUCCCUGUUACAGCUUUUUGGCUGGAGGCAGAAAUCUUGUUUGUGAUUUUUAAGAAUUACUCUCUUAAAUUUAAUUUUGUUUUAUAAUUAUGUAAAAUACAAAGCUCUGAAGUUAAAACAAGGUACAGUAAUAUUCUAUAUAACAUUUUGGUCAGUGAUGAACCACAUAUAUGACAGUGGUCCCAUAAAAUAAUACAUUUUAGUUGUACCUUUUCUGUGUUUAGUUAAACAAACACUAGGUGUUACAUUACAACUGCCUACAUUAUUCAGUACACAAUAUGCUGUACAGGUGUGCAGCCUAGGAGCAAUAGGCUAUACUAUAUAACUGCGAUGUUAGUAGGCUACACUAUCUAGGUUUGUGUAAGUGCACUCUGUGAUGUUUGCACAAUGAUGGUAUCACCUAAUGACGCAUUUCUCGGAAUGUAUCCCUAUCAUUAAGUGAUGCAUUCAGAAAAGUCUAGGGUCUAACCCUUUGCUUUUCCCUACACACUCACUGAGGUAAACAUUAAAAAAAAAAAUUUCCCCCUCCACCCCUUUUAAGUUUUUAUUAUUUCCAUACUAUUGUUUUUAUUAUUAACAUAAACAAGUAUAUACAUCCACUUACAUCUCUACUUUCUUCUUAGGUGAUUAGCAGCAUACUACAAAAUUCUCUCAAACUACUGUUUUACUUAGUAAUUUAUCCUGAAGAUCACUCCAUACAAGUAUAUAGAGAUAGUCUUCAUUGCCUAUCUUUUGAAUUUAUAACUUAAAAGAAGGAAUUAAAAAUGUAAAAACAUUAUCACUGAUAUUUUCAAGGUCUUUACUUACGCCAUGCUGAAAGAGGGUUUUGCAUCCUGGUCAGAUAAAGAAGCAAUGGUGUGCUGAGGAAAUCCUUCAUAGAAGAAAAUGUAUUACUUUCUUUUUCCAA
rnacentral:lncRNA from 1 species